rnacentral:rRNA from 1 species
UACGUAGGGGGCGAGCGUUAUCCGGAUUCACUGGGUGUAAAGGGAGCGUAGACGGCCAUGCAAGCCAGGGGUGAAAGCCCGGGGCCCAACCCCGGGACUGCCCUUGGAACUGCAUGGCUGGAGUGCGGGAGGGGCAGGCGGAAUUCCUGGUGUAGCGGUGAAAUGCGUAGACAUCAGGAGGAACACCGGCGGCGAAGGCGGCCUGCUGGACCGCGACUGACGUUGAGGCUCGAAAGCGUGGGGAGCGAACAGG